AUUGAACGCUGGCGGAAUGCUUUACACAUGCAAGUCGAACGGCAGCACGGGGCAACCUGGUGGCGAGUGGCGAACGGGUGAGUAAUGCAUCGGAACGUACCUUUCAGUGGGGGAUAACGUAGCGAAAGUUACGCUAAUACCGCAUAUUCUGUGAGCAGGAAAGCAGGGGAUCGCAAGACCUUGCGCUGAUUGAGCGGCCGAUGUCAGAUUAGCUAGUUGGUGAGGUAAAGGCUCACCAAGGCGACGAUCUGUAGCGGGUCUGAGAGGAUGAUCCGACACACUGGAACUGAGACACGGUCCAGACUCCUACGGGAGGCAGCAGUGGGGAAUUUUGGACAAUGGGGGCAACCCUGAUCCAGCCAUGCCGCGUGAGUGAAGAAGGCCUUCGGGUUGUAAAGCUCUUUCGGCCGGGAAGAAAUCGCACGGGCUAAUACCCUGUGUGGAUGACGGUACCGGAAUAAGAAGCACCGGCUAACUACGUGCCAGCCGCCGCCGUAACAC
rnacentral:rRNA from 1 species